rnacentral:rRNA from 1 species
CGUAGGUGGCAAGCGAUACUCGGAAUCACUAGGCGUAAAGCGCAGGUAGGCGGCUGGGUAAGUCUUUUGUGAAAGCUCCUGGCUUAACUGGGAGAGGUCAAAGGAAACUACUCGGCUAGAGUUUGGUAGGGGAUACUGGAAUUCCUGGUGUAGUGGUGAAAUGCGUAGAUAUCAGGAGGAAUACCUAUGGCGAAAGCAGGUAUCUGGGCCACAACUGACGCUGAGCUGCGAAAGCUAGGGGAGCAAACAGGAUUAGAUACCCUGGUAGUCCUAGCCCUAAACGAUGCUCAUUAGAUGUGGGAGGUAUCGACCCCUUCCGCGUCGCAGCUAACGCAUUAAAUGAGCCGCCUGGGGAGUACGGCCGCAAGGUUG